GACGUAGGGCGCGAGCGUUUGUCCGGAUUUAUUGGGCGUAAAGAGCUCGUAGGCGGCUUGUCGCGUCGACUGUGAAAUCCCGCGGCUCAACUGCGGGUCUGCAGUCGAUACGGGCAGGCUAGAGUUCGGUAGGGGAGACUGGAAUUCCUGGUGUAGCGGUGAAAUGCGCAGAUAUCAGGAGGAACACCGAUGGCGAAGGCGGCACUCUGGGCCGGAACUGACGCUGAGGAGCGAAAGCGUGGGGAGCAAACAGG
rnacentral:rRNA from 1 species